rnacentral:rRNA from 1 species
AAACUUUCAACAACGGAUCUCUUGGUUCUGCAUCGAUGAAGAACGCAGCGAAAUGCGAUAAGUAAUGUGAAUUGCAGAAUUCAGUGAAUCAUUGAAUCUUUGAACGCACAUUGCGCCCCUCGGUAUUCCGAGGGGCAUGCCUGUUCGAGCGUCAUC